UAGAGAGACACUUUGCAUGAGAGUGUUUAUAGUGCUGUGAGUUUAACACUUCAUGACUGAGAGCAGAACAGAACAGAAUCUUCAUCAUCACACAAGACAAAACAACAACAAUGAACAACAUCAUCAUCCUCAUCUGGACACUCACACUGUUUGCUCAAGAGUGUAGAGGACAGUACACUGUUACUCAGAGUCCAUCAAUAACAGCAGCUCAAGGACAAGAAGUCAGAAUAAACUGUAAAGUCAGCAGUGGAGUGUAUGGUGGUAGUUACUUACACUGGUACUUACAGAAACCUGGAGAAACUCCUAAACUCCUCAUAUAUUAUACAAACAACCUCCAGUCAGGAACUCCAUCUAGAUUCAGUGGCAGUGAAUCUGGCAGUGAUUUCACUCUGACCAUCAGUGGAGUCCAGACUGAAGAUACAGGAGAUUAUUACUGUCAGAGUUUACACAACCCGAGCAGCACUUGGGUGUUCACACAGUGAUAAAGAGUCGUACAA